GCGACUGCCAUCCUCCUUCUGCGGCAGGCAAGGAAGCAGACACGGGCAGACUGGUCACACAGGAAGGCGAGGAGGGACCCGAUGACUCAGAGCUUUUGACUCCCAGCCGUCAGCUUGAGACGCCGUUCUAGCCAGGCCACACCCCGAAAGCAAGUGAGACUAUCAUGGACAAAUCCUCCUCUGGCAGCAGGCCGAUCAGCCAGAGAGCCAUUCUCCGAUUCCCAACCUCUUUCACACCAUGCAGAAUCACUGCGGGAAAAGCCUGACAAGGCUCAGACAACUCACAGUGCCAUACCUUUGCUCAUGACAGUAACGCCAGCCAAUUGCUAGCGUCUCGGUGUCUGGCCAAAGCGGAUGGCAGACGGCUGUCUGAAGCUGGGACCUGGGAAAAUGGGGAUAACAUCAGGAAAAAAACAAAAACAUCUUACGUACCUACUGCUCCCAUCUCAUCCUGCUCUGGGGACAUGCCUGCUCGCCGUGGACUGAGUCAGUGCCUGGUCUUGUGGUCCUUCAGUGCUCUGCAGAGCUGCUGCGUGCUUGCAGACUGGGAGCUGUUAGCACAUCUCAUCCUACCUGCUGUGCACGGGGACUUGCCAGGACCGGCAGCUCCCCAGUGGGUCAGUGGGUUAGGAUGGAGGAACACCACCACUUGGGAAAGUUUGGUGGCUCCUCUGAAAAUCUUCCCGGACUUUUAUUGGAUCUUAAGUUACCACAAAGUAUCUGCCUGGAUCUGGGCUUUGAUUCUGCACUCCACUGCUUUAUCCCAGGCGGGCUGGGGUAGCGCCUUUCCCUCAGAGACCACAACUGACAGCACCCCUCCCAGGGAGAGGAAUGGAGCAGUGGCUGUGUUUCAAGGGUGGGGAGGUGGAAAGGGUGUUUGAGGCCGCUGUCGACAUGGGGGAGCUGCAGGGCUGGAGAGGAGGAUCAGAAAUCAUCUUAUUUCUCCAGUCCCGGUUCCUAUCUCCAGCCAGGGGCCUGGACUGCCACCCCCAGCUCUCCCAUCACCCCAGUCCCUGGGUCCCACACUCACAGCUCUCCCCACCCAGCCCGUCUCUGCCCCGACCUCCCCACCGCUCGCUCUCCAGGCAGGUCCUGGCUCUUCAGCUGUGGUGUGGCAAAAUUCAAUUUUGCCUACGUGGCUGAGAAACUCUGGCUCUUCAUAAUAAUACCAGCUUGCCUGCAGGGAACGAGGUGGAAGCUAGACCACGUCAAGGCCUUUUAUUUCCUGCAAAGGUGUGUUUGCAAGACACUCGUGGAGAACACUAUGCAGAUGAGCGACAACGGGAGAGGUAGGACCAGCUCCCCAGCAUGGGGAAAAUGGGGCAGAUCAAAUAGUUACCCAGAUUUCCAUCAGCUGUGGGGUUGGCCUGGUGACAGUUAGGCAGGCUUGCCAUGUUGUAGGGAUGGCUCACCUCUCUGCCAGCUAUAACAAACACGUCCGCUUGAUGCCAACAGGACUGGGCCGAGCUUCACCCACAGAAGCAUUUUCUUCCCCUCCUGCUCCACUGGUGUGAGCGGCCCCAUCUCUGCAAAAUAAGCACACGAAGAGAGCUUGAAAUUGCCAAGAGGAAAUCCAGGUUGAAUUUGCGCUGAGAGCUGGCCAAGGAAGGAGAAAACAUCAAUCUCAAAAGGUUUUUCAAAGUUUGGACAUUUGGCUUCGUCUUUCACUACGUUCAACCACAAUCUGUCAAUUCCCAUCAAGAAAAAAAAAAAAAGAGGGAGAGCAGCCUAGCCUUUAAAAGUCAGUGCUGCCACGGCUAGAAAGUUCAUGAAGCACAUGGGACAAAAAGGUUAGUCUGAACUCAUGACUUGAACAGAAAUCUACAGCCCGUAACUGAAUACUGUAGGGUUCCUUCCUCUCUUGCUGUGCUAGGAAAUUCUGGCCAGAAAGUUAAAAAGUAAAAUGCAAAAAAGAACUCUUAAAAGUAAUAAUUAUCCACCCCCCAAAACUGAGGCUAAACCGAGGAACUUCUAUGUUCCUCAGCUGCGCAGGAUUUAUGUUUGAGAAAAUUCCUGGUAGGGUAUAAAGAUUUUACUACUUUGAGCUUUGGAUGGUUUUAGUAUUAGCAGGCCACAAAUGAAUUAGUUGGAUGAUGCAAAAAUGACUGUCAAUAAAAUCUUUACACCAAUGCUUCA